AAGAGAUUAUUUUAAUGAAAAUAUAAAUCUGUCAGAUUUAAGAUACUGUAUGGUAUCUCUUU
rnacentral:tRNA from 1 species